ensembl:lncRNA
GCUCAUCUUGGAAGAGUACGUGCCAGAAAGACCACAACCAAGCAGCCUUGAGAUCUUAGACAGCGUCUCCCUGAGGUUCCUCUCUAUCUCCCCACACAUCCACCAACCACUGGAACACAUCUCCAAAGUUCUGCUGGACCAGCUCAGCUUCCCCUCAGAAGAAGUGCCGCCACCUGCCAGAUGAAGGAGCCUUUUGAGAGGCAGCUGGCAUCGUGAUUGGACUGUACUUUGGUCUGUUCCAAUCCAGCUUCAGCUCCAGAGAUGGCAGGCGGAACGAGUCAAUGGAGGCCGGGUGGACGAAGGCAUGCAGCUGAGUACAAUCCAGAAAACAACAGAGGAGGAGUGCAGCAGCCCAGAGCCAGAACAACCAGAGUAGCAUCACCAAAGAACUACAGACUCUUCACAACCUGCUCAAACUCUUGGUACAGGACCUCACCACAGGGGUCAAGAAGGUUGCUUUGUAGAACUGUUCCAGAAAACCUCACUAAACCACAUGGAGGGGCCUCAAGAUAGUCGUCCAAAUGAAACCAUACAAAAACCAAACUAGCACAACCCAAACGCUAAAGUCUCCUGCAGCCUACCAGAGAACCUCUGAGAACAGAGAAUCAGGACAGGAACUCUU